rnacentral:tRNA from 1 species
ACCUGGGUGGCUCAGUCGGUUGAGCAUCUGACUUCGGCUCAGAUCACGAUCUCGCAGUUCAUGGGUUCAAGCCCCGUGUCGGGCU